GCAGUCGACGAUGAAGCCCUUCGGGGUGGAUUAGUGGCGAACGGGUGAGUAACACGUGGGCAAUCUGCCCUUCACUCUGGGACAAGCCCUGGAAACGGGGUCUAAUACCGGAUAACACUCUGUCCCGCAUGGGACGGGGUUAAAAGCUCCGGCGGUGAAGGAUGAGCCCGCGGCCUAUCAGCUUGUUGGUGGGGUAAUGGCCUACCAAGGCGACGACGGGUAGCCGGCCUGAGAGGGCGACCGGCCACACUGGGACUGAGACACGGCCCAGACUCCUACGGGAGGCAGCAGUGGGGAAUAUUGCACAAUGGGCGAAAGCCUGAUGCAGCGACGCCGCGUGAGGGAUGACGGCCUUCGGGUUGUAAACCUCUUUCAGCAGGGAAGAAGCGAAAGUGACGGUACCUGCAGAAGAAGCGCCGGCUAACUACGUGCCAGCAGCCGCGGUAAUACGUAGGGCGCAAGCGUUGUCCGGAAUUAUUGGGCGUAAAGAGCUCGUAGGCGGCUUGUCACGUCGGAUGUGAAAGCCCGGGGCUUAACCCCGGGUCUGCAUUCGAUACGGGCUAGCUAGAGUGUGGUAGGGGAGAUCGGAAUUCCUGGUGUAGCGGUGAAAUGCGCAGAUAUCAGGAGGAACACCGGUGGCGAAGGCGGAUCUCUGGGCCAUUACUGACGCUGAGGAGCGAAAGCGUGGGGAGCGAACAGGAUUAGAUACCCUGGUAGUCCACGCCGUAAACGUUGGGAACUAGGUGUUGGCGACAUUCCACGUCGUCGGUGCCGCAGCUAACGCAUUAAGUUCCCCGCCUGGGGAGUACGGCCGCAAGGCUAAAACUCAAAGGAAUUGACGG
rnacentral:rRNA from 1 species